CACGUAGGGUGCGAGCGUUGUCCGGAAUUAUUGGGCGUAAAGAGCUCGUAGGCGGCUUGUCGCGUCGACUGUGAAAUCCCGCGGCUCAACUGCGGGUCUGCAGUCGAUACGGGCAGGCUAGAGUUCGGUAGGGGAGACUGGAAUUCCUGGUGUAGCGGUGAAAUGCGCAGAUAUCGGAAGGAACAUCAGUGGCGAAAAGCGACUUCCUGGACCAGUACCGACGUUCAGGCACGAAAGCGUGGGGAGCAAACAGG
rnacentral:rRNA from 1 species